UACGUAGGGGGCAAGCGUUGUCCGGAUUUAUUGGGCGUAAAGAGCGUGUAGGCGGCCAGACAGGUCAGCUGUGAAAACUCGAGGCUCAACCUCGAGACGUCGGUUGAAACCGUCUGGCUAGAGUCCGGAAGAGGAGAGUGGAAUUCCCGGUGUAGCGGUGAAAUGCGCAGAUAUCAGGAAGAACACCCGUGGCGAAAGCGGCUCUCUGGAACGGUACUGACGCUGAGACGCGAAAGCGUGGGGAGCGAACAGG
rnacentral:rRNA from 1 species